AUGGGGUUGGGCGCUUGGUGCCGGCGGUGGCUGGACCUCCUGUGCGUCGUCCUCCUCCCGCCGCUCGGCGUCUACCUCCGCCAUGGCCGCUACUCCACGGGGUUCUGGAUCAGCGUGCUGCUCACCAUCCUCGGUUACCUCCUGUUAUUUCUCGAGGUCCACUUCAUGGGCUACGCCUACUGCGUCGUCUACGCCGUCUGGGUCCUCGUCUACGUCUACCGUGACGGCCUCCCCCAUAACGGCGACGACGAUGAUGACGAGUCCCCAUGUGCCACCGCCUCCUACGUCUUCGUUGCCUGA
rnacentral:rRNA from 1 species